rnacentral:rRNA from 1 species
GUGGGGAAUAUUGGGCAAUGGACGCAAGUCUGACCCAGCAACGCCGCGUGAAGGAAGAAGGCUUUCGGGUUGUAAACUUCUUUUAAGGGGGAAGAGCAGAAGACGGUACCCCUUGAAUAAGCCACGGCUAACUACGUGCCAGCAGCCGCGGUAAUACGUAGGUGGCAAGCGUUGUCCGGAUUUACUGGGUGUAAAGGGCGUGCAGCCGGGCAGGCAAGUCAGAUGUGAAAUCCCGCGGCUCAACCGCGGAACUGCAUUUGAAACUGUCAGUCUUGAGUACCGGAGAGGUCAUCGGAAUUCCUUGUGUAGCGGUGAAAUGCGUAGAUAUAAGGAAGAACACCAGUGGCGAAGGCGGCUUGCUGGACUGGUACUGACACUGAGGCACGAAAGCGUGGGGAGCAAACAGG